GGCUCACAAGCUAAUUUGAUUUGAUUCUUGAUAAAGUUCCAGGAGGUGAAACUCUCCUGUUCACAGUUCAACUCUAUCCCUUACGGAGCAAUGGCUCCUGCCCAAGAACAAUACACCUGUAUCACCAAUGAAACAAAAGCACUGACAGGUGAGUCAAGUUACAUGGACCCAAACUCAAUUUUGUUUAACAUAAUAGAAAUUAGAUGAAAAAUAUGUUAAUUCCUGUUGCUAAGAGGAUCUUCUCUUGUUUAAUCUCAUCGCUCCUGGUUCUACCGUAAGGCACCAAUGAAAUAGCCCUUCUGGUAACACUCAAGUGACACCAGCAGCCCGUUAUCCCUUCCCUGUAGGAGAAUUUAAUUCAAACUAUGCAACUUAAGCUAUACCAAUCAUUUUCAUUUCAUCCAGUGACAUGAUCUUGGCUUUUGUUGCUUGUCUCUUGAUUCUUGUCCUCUGUUGCACUCAUACUUAGCAUCUUUCAGGUGGUAUGCCAUGCAGCGAUGGCAACCAGAUGCUUUGGGCCAUGACACCAGAGCUGCAUUGAAGAGGAGGGUUCCUGUCCUGCUCCAAGUUACACUGGAGCAAUUGUAAUUGUUUUGCCCCAACACCACAUUGAAAACUUGCAUUUAAGAAGCACGUGGAGAAGAAUGACCAUGUUAAACCAAAUUAUUAACACUUAAUUCACUACCUGCUCUGUGGCAGUGGUCAAUAUUGAGGCCAUGAUUGUCAUCUUUGGGUAACCUACCUGGUGUCUGGGUGUGUAACCACACAGCUCUGCCAGCUUCACAAAGUCUCCCUCCCCUUGUGUAAUAUUGUUCUUAUCGUGAUGAAGAUGUGGGUGCUCCAGAUUUUCACAGGCUGCCUAUUCUCAUUUAGUAUGUGUCUUGUUUUCAGCAGCAUGUCUUUCUGUGGCAAUGAUCUCAUGCAGUUGAGAAGGUCCAGAAGGGAGAACGCUAACAUCUACUGCCUCAGUUGCCCACAGCUCUUCUCAGAUCCCCAGCCAAACCAGAAUCAACCUUGAGGGAGCUUCAGGAAAUGUGAAAUUGGAUUUUUGACCUCACCCAGCUGUGCAGAGUCACUAACAACCUCUGUGUGUGGAGGUGGCCCACAGCCUUCAUAGUCAGGCUACUGCUCCUUCAUCUGGUCAUCUCUUAAUGCUUUUCAUGGUUCUAAGGAAUACAAAGAAGUCCUGCUGGCUUGAGUUAUCCUGUUCAUUUCCACCUCUUCUGCUGUUAAAAAGAUCCUCAGCUGGUCCAGGCUUGACUCAUUUAUGGACUAGGACCAUUUAUCAGGAUGGUGGGAGUACUUCAUAACUACUCCACCAAUGAUGGAAAGGAUGAGCUUUUCAGAUGCUUUCGAACAUCUACCUGUUCUCACAGGGUGCUGCCUACUCCCUGCUGCACGCAGGGCUUGGAGAACUCCAUUGAAAUUCAUGUCUUUCUUGAGGCUGUUCUACUGAACUCUUGAAGAAAUGAACCCAAUAUCAAUUAUGCUUUUCAUCCUCACACACACAACAAUAUCACAGUGCUUUGGUAGCACUAAGAUCUGGAUUUUACAGGGAUCUGAUGUAGCCCUCAUCAUGAUGCUUCAGUGGAUUCCAGGAAUCUAAAAAAAUUUUACUGUAUUGUCUGAUUAUAAAAAAAAAAAAGCUGUUAGCAAGUUUAACACAGUAGACCCACUACACUCUACUGUGAAACUUCACUGGUGGGCAUUGAUGUUCAAAGUAUUGCUACGAGGCUUUACAGUAUAAUUAAACAAUAACGUUAAUAAAAUAAGACCCUGACCCAGCAGCAGCCUUUACCACUGGUAGGUAAAUGAAGGGCAACGCCAUUUACUCUUGAAGUGAGCUAAGAGCAUUGCUGAAGUAUGUUGUGAUAUGGCCUGGAGGCCUCAGCCAACUUGAGAAGCCCCUACUGCUCUGUCCAAACUCUCUGUGUGCUGAAGAACUGUUGUAAAGCCAGAGCAAAGCCUGAAGGCAGAACGAGAGCAGGAGAAUUCAUGGUCCUCAGCCUCCUUGGAGCUGUCACCUUCUUGCUCUGAAUGGUCCCAAUUCAAGGAUGUCUUUGGAGACAUUCAAAACCCUCCUGGAUGCUAUCCUGUGCAACCUGCUCUGGGUGACCCUGGUCUGGCAGGGGGUUGGACUGCAUGAUCUCCAGAGUUCCCUUUCAACCCUGACUGGUCUGUGAUUCUGUGAUAAGUCAGCUGACAUGUUCUUCUGGACAUCAGUGGGUGACAGCUUUGGAGGUGGUCCUUCCUGAGAGGGUGGAGAUAUCACCCCUACCCUGUUCUUUGUCUCCCCUGUUCUUUGCCCUGGAGAGGGGGUAAAAAGGAGAAGAGCUAGGAUAGCACAAGCAUGAAAAUCCCUAGGUUUGAUCUAACCCAGAUCUUUUCAGACUGAUCUAUCUGAAAAGGCCUAGUCCUAGUUGGACCAGUCCUCUCAAAGGCAACAUCCCUUCCAGUCUCCCAUUGUUAAAAACAUCUUCUGCAAAUUGGAAAGAAUAAUCUUGUGGCUCCAAAAGAGCUCGUCUACCACUCACUGACAGAGAAGCUGCCAUCUGUCCUGCCCAUUCCUGCUGCCAUCGCUGACUCCUCCUCCACCCUGGAUAUCUCAAGCACCACAUUUUGGAUGUCAUGCCAUGUUGGGGUGCACCUCGUAUGGAGCAUCCACUGAAGCAGCCCUUUGGGCAUCACCAGGGCUUUGCAAUUACAGCAGAAGAAAUCUUCUGUGCAGAGCAGACACAAAACCUCUAAUUAUACCAGGACUACUUCAGGGGAAUUAGUUCUAUAUUUAGUUGAAAUUUUCAUUGCUGCUGUACCUGUAAAAGAGUGUUAGUAUCCUCAUUAUUCAAUUAGACAGAUACACUGGCAAUAAAAUAUUCAUUUUUUGCAGCAGAAGCUGAAUGAUAUUUCCUUGAAUACCUGCAGACAUAUUCCCU